UUUACUUUAACAACUACUAAAAGAACACCAAUCUAUCUCUCUGUAUAUAUAUAAAAGAAGGUUUAGAAAAUAUGAUGUGGCAUAUCUGUUUAGCCAAGAAACACACUUAUUGUUUUUCUCUUCUUUUUUUUUUUUGAAUUUUUUUCUUUUUCUUUAGUCUUUUCAUUCAAUCCGACUUAUUAAAAGGCUACAAUAUCUAUUAAAGAAAUAUUAAUGCUGACCAUUUGCUUUCCCCUGUUUUUUUAUUGCGUUUUCGGUUACACCAUAGUUAUUGUGGUUUUAAUGGGUUCUAUCCUUUGUAUGUUCUUCCUUUUUAAAGUUUUGUUUCAUUUCAUAUUUUCAGAUCUUCCUCCAUGCUAAUGUGGAGUUGUUCGAUAUUGAAAGGAAUGCAUACUAAAUUUAGAGGGAUGAAACUAUUCACAUAUAUUUAUUCCUACAGAUUGUCAAUCAAAAGUUGUGAUCUUCCUCUGCCAUGGAGUGCAAUAUCUUAAUGAAAGUUGAAUCAAAUGAGAAAAUCAAAAGGAAAAAGGCCGGAAAAAAACUCAAGUUCAGCCUGGUAAAGGCAAGACUAAGGGAAAAAGAUGAUAGUUUGACUCCUAAGUGUUAUCAUUUCAACUAUUACAAAGCUACUGAGAUAUAGUUAUGAAUGAAAAAAGCCCUAAGUCACAUUGCCAUUAGAGGAGGCUACUAGAUUGAAAUGUCAAAAUAUUGGAGCAUUUCUUGGCUCAUCUAUAUGUUGAGUUAGAAGAUAAUAAACUGUAAAUUUGUUUUGUCUUAUGGGUUUUCUCUUCGCUCGAUGUAUAUCAAUUCUUGCUCUUUUUCUAAGGUAGUCACAUUUAUACUGUAUU